rnacentral:tRNA from 1 species
GCAGUAGUGGUUCAGUGGUAGAAUUGCCUUCCAUGUGGGAGACUUGGGUUCGAUUCCCAGCCAGUGCA